UACGUAGGGUGCAAGCGUUAAUCGGAAUUACUGGGCGUAAAGCGUGCGCAGGCGGUUCGCUAAGACAGAUGUGAAAUCCCCGGGCUUAACCUGGGAACUGCAUUUGUGACUGGGGGGCUAGAGUAUGGCAGAGGGGGGUAGAAUUCCACGUGUAGCAGUGAAAUGCGUAGAGAUGUGGAGGAAUACCGAUGGCGAAGGCAGCCCCCUGGGCCAAUACUGACGCUCAUGCACGAAAGCGUGGGGGGCAAACAGG
rnacentral:rRNA from 1 species